AAUAAAUUAUUAAACCAAAAUAGGAGGACUUGAUAUGAGGACUCGCGGGAACCACGGAUCCUUGGAGGGGCUACGGGGGCAACAACGUGAAAAAUAUUCAUUUUAGAAACAAACCGAAUGAAUUACUAUGCUUUUCAGUUUCGUCACCGUUCUUAAAGUACUGUAAAGCUGUCAGCAAUAAUUAUUUUCAUUAUCAGUACAUCUGAUGAUUAUUUUCUUUUUAUUUGGUGCAUAAAAUGUAAAAUAAAUACACAUUUUUCGGUCUAGCAGUUAAACACCCCAAAUAUUAAUUUAUUAUUACAGAUUUCAGAGAAGCAAAGCUGGUGGGUCCGUGUACGGAUCUGGUAAUUGGAUUUUCCGUUCUGAAACGGGUAUUGAAAAACAAAAAACGAGUGGUUAUUUGAUUUUCGUUUUAAAAUACAAAAAUUAAAAUUGACAUACAAGGUGUUUUUCCUUUUCAUGAUCAAAAAGAGAUAGAGGAUUUUUUUUAAAUGAUUUGAUUUUCGUUUUAUAUUUAGAAUAACAAGAAAGUAAAAUCAGUAAGAGCCAGAAACGAAAAAAGGUCCGUUUUUUUCAUUUUCUGAGACCGGAAGUGGUCAUCAGCAAGCAGCCAAACAGAGUACGGUGUAUAGACUGUACAUACAUUUUUUUUCGUGAGUUUUCAUGGUCAAAAUGAGAGAUCAGGUGGUCGAUCUUAAAAUAAAUCAAUAUUGAUUUUUUUAUAGAGCGUUAAAGUUUUGUGAAGCCAGGGGGCGGGACUACUUGAUUGAAAGUCCGGUCCGGAAUGAUUGACAGGUCCUAUGGAGGAGGCAGCAGAGUCUCUGCUCUCCUCGUUUGGAUUAAUUCUGAUAUAAUAACUGUUGGUUUAUUUAUCGGUGGAGCAGCAGAACAUUUUCCACAGACAGUUUUCCUGCCCGUUGGCUUGUUUUAACCAGUUUUCUACCUUCGGCUGAUUCUACCAGCAGACACUGAAAGGACUCUGAUAGGUAAGUAAAUGUUUAUUUUCGUAUCGGUGCCGCUUUUAAUGCACUUUAUAUGCAGCUUUACUGUCAGAUAUAAUGUGUGCCAUGCACUCCAGAUGUUGGUGGAGUUUGUUUCAGUGUGUGUUGACCAGAGAAGAAAGUUAGCAUAGUAAAUAUUAGCUUUAAUGUUAGCGAUGCUAACCGAGCUAGCUGCUCAGUCGUCGUAGCCUGAUUAAAGAUAACGUAGCAUCAAGCUAAUGUGUUGAGUUUCAUGUAAACAGCUGAAGUGUGUUGUGUUCCUGUAAUGUGGUUCAUUAAGUUCAUAAAACUGUGGCUGGUUGACAUUAAAGUAACAUUCAGGAAACUUAAAUGUGAUUAAAACAGUAACGUUAAUGUUCUAGUUGUCAGUAAUCAGCUUUAAUUUGACACUAACACAGAUUCUGUUUUAAAUGACAUCAGUUUCAUUAAGUUGUUGAAAAUUGUCUCAUUUGUUGUUGUGAUGUUGCUGCUGAUUCAUUAAAAGCAGAUGAUCCGUGUUGAAGAUACGUUUAGUUCUAGUAUCAGAAGUACAAGAAGGAAAAUGGAAGUUUAGUUCUGCUACAUCAAAGAUUUCAGGGUUAAAAUAACUAAAUGAGUCUUUAUGCCUCAAACUUUAUUUUUACAAUAAAGAAAUAAUGAAAUAAUCACAGAUAAUAAAAAUAUAAAUAGCAGAGAAAACCUGAGAGAAUAAUUUCCUGAAAAGUCUGUGAAGGAAAAGCAGCUUUUUAUCCUGAAAGAUCAGAAUCAGCUCCAACAUCUGCAUCUGACAGCAUCAAGUCAACCAGAAAGAAAAGAAAAAAGAAAAUGACUUCUUUCUGAUCACAUCUGUUCCGCUGCUCACAGUCUGCUGCUGCUCACAUUCUUCACAUUUAUAGUCCACUUUUAAAAGUUCAGCAGACAGGUGCUCUGCUUUGGAGUGUGACGAUGUCGUCGGUGAUGUGGAGAGUGAAGUUUCCGUUUCACCCACAGCGUGCUUUAGGGCAGUCAGGUCAGACUUGAUGUUUGAAAUACUGACCAACAGCUCAGAUUUAACUGUCUGUAAUUCCAUUUUGAUGGGUGUUUAACUUUCACUCAAAGCCACCAGGAGCUGGGUCUUUAAAAUAACCGCCGUCUCGUUACAGAGUGAAAGUAGCAAUUCCUCCUUAAGGUCAGAGAUUGCAGCAUCUGAGGGCCUCUUCAAAAGAAGACAUAGUUGAUGAAGGCGUUCUGGAGCAGGACCAGAAAGACCACGACCAAGCAGCCUUGAGAUCUUAGGAGGCGUCUCCCUCAGGUCCCUCUCUAUCUCCCUACACAUCCACCAACCACUGGAACACAUCUCCAAAGUUCUGCUGGGCCAGCUCAGCUUCCCCUCAGAAGAAGUUCCACCAGAUGAAGGAGCCUUUUGAGAGGCAGCUGGCAUCGUGAUUGGACUGUACUUUGGUCUGUUCCAAUCCAGCUUCAGCUCCAGAGACGGCAGGCGGGACGAGUCAACGGAGGCCGGGUGGACGAAGGCAUACAGCUGAGUACAAUCCAGAAAACAACAGAGGAGGAGUGCAGGGCCAGAACAAACAGAGUAGCAUUGUAUGUCUCUUAGAAAACAUCAUAGUAUAGCCUUUGGUAUGAAAAAACGCCAUCAUAUACAUCGUAUAUUGUACAAAUAACAAGUCAAAGGAAAGAGACAUACAUUGUAGAAUUGUAGUAAUUGUGGGACUGACUGAUUUACUGAUUAUCAGUAUUUUAUUUUUUACUGAUUUACGGUAAUAAAUACAUUUAAAAAUGGUGCUACUUUGGCUCUGAACCUUUAUCUACCUGUGGUCCCUCUGUCUUCUGGAGUAAUUUGAUUGGUUAUACGUCAUGAAUAAAACUCCUUUAACUUAACAUCUGUAAACAAAACAAAAACGUAUCAGCAAAGUUUUCUGUUCGAGUUUGUGUUCUUCUAAGUUUCACGCCAAGAUUUUAAAUACUUUCAUUUACUGCAAAUGAAUAUCGACUCCAAAUGUCUCACUAAUAAUCAUUAUCAGCCUUAAAAACCCACAAAACACCCCUCUAUACUCGACCACACUUAGUACAGUCUGGUUUCCCCUUCUAUAAAUCUGCUUGGAAUCGUCCACUUCCUGUUUGUCAAAGUGGCCUUCUACCUGGACAGGUUUUGUUGGAGCUCAUGCAACAAACAUUUUGGGUAACUGCACAUUAAUAUGGAUGGAUGACACUGAAUUAGAGUCUGUUUUAAUGAGACUGAGUUAAGAUGUGUAGCUCUGUCAUUAAAUAGUAAAUUAUUUCUCAGAAUUCACAGAGAAAAGUCUGAAAUGUUUGCUAGGUUAGCAUCCCACAUGUUCUUUGGCUCAGCUAAAGCUAACUCUCUCCAACUUCUGGAUCUCUUGAGUUGCUUGUUGUUAAAAUAUCUUGCUAGAUUUGCUGAAACUCAGAAAGUCUGAGAUGUUUGUUCAAAAUAAGCUCAUUCUCAAGUCUUAUCUGAACUGUCCUCUUUUGUUUGAACUUUCCCUAAACUUAGGAGUUAAUGACAGAGUAGCACAUCCAGACUCAGUCUCAUUUAUGUAGAGAUUAAACUUCAGCGUCAUUCAUUGAUGUUAAAGUGCAGUUUUUCAAAUGUUUGUUACACAUGCUCCUGACCAAACCAGUCCAGGUGGAAGACAAAGUGAAGAGAAAGCUCCAGAGGAUGAAUAUCACACAUUUACGUUGGAAAUAAAUGUCCUUUAAUUUGACAUUGUCAUGCAAAUGAUGUUCAAAUGUUUGAGUGUUUUGUUGAUGUUUGUUUCUAAAUGUUUUCUGACACUCGGCCCCAAAGAUUAAAACCUUCUACGGCUCACAAGCUGCAACAAUUCACACAUUUUCAACUAUCUUGCUGACUAAGAUAAAAAGUGAAAAACUCUGA